CCUACGGGAGGCAGCAGUGGGGAAUCUUGCGCAAUGGGCGAAAGCCUGACGCAGCCAUGCCGCGUGAAUGAUGAAGGUCUUAGGAUUGUAAAAUUCUUUCAGUAGGGACGAUAAUGACGGUACCUACAGAAGAAGCCCCGGCUAACUUCGUGCCAGCAGCCGCGGUAAUACGAAGGGGGCUAGCGUUGCUCGGAAUUACUGGGCGUAAAGGGAGCGUAGGCGGGUUAUCAAGUUGGAGGUGAAAGCCCAGGGCUCAACCUUGGAAUUGCCUUCAAAACUGAUAGCCUAGAGUAUGAUAGAGGUAUGUGGAACUCCGAGUGUAGAGGUGAAAUUCGUAGAUAUUCGGAAGAACACCAGUGGCGAAGGCGACAUACUGGGUCAUGACUGACGCUGAGGCUCGAAAGCGUGGGGAGCAAACAGGAUUAGAUACCCUGGUAGUCCACGCUGUAAACGAUGAUUGCUAGUUGUCGGACGGCAUGCCGUUCGGUGACGCAGCUAACGCAUUAAGCAAUCCGCCUGGGGAUACGGUCGCAAGAUUAAAAACUCAAAAGAGUAAGUACGGACGNGAGAGACGCGACGACGACGACGACGGAGGAGGAG
rnacentral:rRNA from 1 species